UCCCCUCUGAAAUAGCACCGCAGUACUUU
rnacentral:piRNA from 1 species